rnacentral:lncRNA from 1 species
GGAGAUCCAGCUGCCGACUUUCCACCGCACACGGCCGUCGAUCUUGACCUGCAGAAUCAGGUACCCCGCCUGACAGUCCUGGCGGAGCGCGUCGGCGAGGUACGGCGCGAAGGGGACGUCGGGGCCGGAGAGGACCGGGGACCAGACGUCGACGUCGCCGUGGCCCUGGUACACGGCGGGGAGCGACGCGGCCACCGUGAUCUGCUGGUACUUGUAGGAGGCGUACACGUCGAGACGGUCGUAGUAGACCCCGACCUUGUCGUUUGGGUUGCGGGAGGCGACGGUGACCUGGAGCGUGGUGGAGAGGGCGCCCGCCGCGGAGGUGGUGGUGGUGGUGUUGGAGAGGUCGAGCUGCCGGAGCGAGGCGUCUUGGAGGAAGAAGCGCGGGUGGGUUGGGCGGAGGACUAGGUAGAUGAUGAGCGCGAUGAGGGCGACGAGGAGGGCCAGGACGAGGAGGAUGGCCAGGAGGCGGCGGCAGGACCGGCGGAGGUCGUCGUCGCCGUGGUUGCCGCAGUCCUUGCUCAUGGCUGAUGUGUGAUUCUUGGGAUUUGGGAUCGAGUUUGGGUUGGGAGCGUCUGGGGUCUCUGUGCGUGAGUCUUGUUG